rnacentral:lncRNA from 1 species
GUUGUUGCAAAAACUAAACGCCCAUUCAUCAAGCGAGUCGAGAUGAGAGGAAUCAUUGUAUAAAAGGCUAGCAUGUAAAAGCUGGAAGAAGGAAAGAACACGGGAUAUGUAAUGGAACAUGGGAAAUUGAUAUGGACAUUGAUAUGGACCUUGAUAUGGACAUUGAUAUGAACAUGAAUAUGGUAUAGAGAACUACAUCGACACAGAAAAGAAAACAAAAGUUGCUAAAAUGACAAAGGUGCCGAAUCAACAGGCCAUAGUACCGAUGGAAUCCAAAUACAAUCCAAGAAUC